rnacentral:rRNA from 1 species
UACGGGGGGAGCAAGCGUUGUUCGGAUUUACUGGGCGUAAAGAGCUCGUAGGCGGUCUGUCGCGUCGGCUGUGAAAACUCGGGGCUUAACCCCGGGCCUGCAGUGGGUACGGGCAGACUAGAGUGCGGUAGGGGAGACUGGAAUUCCUGGUGUAGCGGUGAAAUGCGCAGAUAUCAGGAGGAACACCGGUGGCGAAGGCGGGUCUCUGGGCCGUAACUGACGCUGAGGAGCGAAAGCGUGGGGAGCGAACAGG